UUCUGGUUAGCUGGGCUUGGCAGCUAGUAGGUUGACUUUGGUUUUGUUUGUUUGUUUUCCAUGAUGAAUCUGAAGAUUUCAAAUAAGCUGUUUCUUCAGAUCCUAGCUGGGAGUCCCUGGAGCCUGGUGAUAAGGUCUCUCUGCUCCAGCUCCUGGAAUGAUCUGCACUUCAGGUCACCGCCAGCUGUCACCAUCACGUCUUUAGACUACACAGUGUGCAUGGACGACCGUAUGCAGGUCACUUGGGUCAUUCUCCCUGCUUGUUUGGUUGAUGUAAUUCCACAGGAUCUCUCUUGCUUCACUCUAUCUCAAUCCCUGCUGAUGCCACAGGUUCACGUGGAGAACUGGACAAACACUGGUAUGAGAGCAGCCCCCGUUUAUUGGUGGAGGAGACAUUCCAAGAUGCUCACUGAAUGCUGGAAACCAUAUUCAACUGUGGAUAUGCUAUAUUCAUACCUGGGAUACUGUCUAAUUUAUAUAUUAGAUCUGACUGACAAGACUUUGAAGUCAAGUCUUACAAAACUGCUAAGGACUUGGAAAGGUCUAC
rnacentral:lncRNA from 1 species